CUCCUGUAUAUCCUGGCUCCUCCCUUACCUCUCUGGAACAGUCCUCGGAGCUCUCUUAGAGGCUACUUCCCAAGUUCGCUUAAGGUCCAAACAAACUUCGCAAGUUUUAGGUCGCGCGUUUUUCUUCAUUCAACACCUCCUCCAUUUUCGCCACGAUGGUGCUGUCUGAAAUCUUUUCUCUUGUCUCUGACUGAAAAUACUUAAGUUGACGUAACCGACUCUAACCCUUAGGCUACCUGUAUUGAAGGCGUUAACGCUUUUCAGCUCCCAGAAGGGCCUGGGCCUGGCGGUGUGGGAACUACAUUUCCCAGAACGCUCUGCGGCCAGAGCGCAGUGUGGCUGGACCAAUGAGGAGUCCGGAGAGGGACGUUUCUGUCUCCUACGCGCCACUUCGGGGCGGGACUUCUGGCCUAGCCCUCCUGGCGGUUAUUUCAUCUGUUCUUGGCUGAGUCCCCUGGAUCAGAGGUUCCAGAGCAGUCGUACCCGAGGUGGCGGGAGAGAAAGCGUGAUCCCCCUGCACAAAGGAGGGUCUCAGGUGCGUCAGGGCUGGGUUCGACGGAGCUCGGGUCUCCGCCCUUGUCCACCGCCGCCGGUUUUGUUGGAGGCGGCUAUGCCGUCGGACUGACGCAGGGAUCGGUGACCUUUGAGGGUGUGGCCAUGACUUUGACCUCGAGUUCCUGGCCAAGAAGAUCUAGCCCAAAGGACCCUAUACCAGGAGGUGAUGCUGCAGAGCUGGAAGACCUGCUUUGUUGGGUUUCCACAAAAGGGCAGCUGACUGGCCCAGUUUGGCUGAGGAAGGGGAUCUCCACAGGCCUCACAGCAGGGACUGGUGAUGAGCUAUUCUCCAAGGAGAAAGGUGAGUCAGACAGGUGCUCAGAAGGCAUUUGUCAUCACUGUCGCCUGGCAUCUUCAAGGGGAAAACAGUCUUAGUUAAAGGUCAAAAGCUCAGUUGUGCCCAGGUGCCUGCAGGGUCCUUCCUUUCUCCUAAGGCGUGGGCCGAGAUCAUCCACUGGUACAGGAGUUGAUCGUAGAGGGUGCACAGUCACGUCACCAAAUGGCUUUGAUGGGUGGCCUGAGAAACUUUUCCUUCCCCUCUUCUCUUGUGGGUCAGCAUAUAAAGAAGUAACCACCGUUCCAUGGGCAAGGACCUAUGCUCCGCUCAUUUCCUCCUCCCAGCUUCUUAGUCCUUGGCAGUGCAGGAAAAUUCAGCCAACACAGUGAGCCUCAAUUGAGAAGAUGGCGCUUGACUUUGAGAUGUCCCCUGCUCUUCUUUUGUGAAAUAUUGAGGAGAGUAGAUGAUACAUGAUAUCUAAAUAAAUGUCUUUAAUUAGCCA
rnacentral:lncRNA from 1 species